GCCGCCGCCGCCUCCUCUCACAGCCGCUCACCGGGGACGAAGAAGAAGGCGGCGCAACGAUGGUGCAUGUCGUGGUUUACCGAAACUAUGGGAAGACCUUCAAGAAGCCCCGCCGCCCCUACGAGAAGGAGCGUCUCGACGCGGAGCUGAAGCUCGUCGGCGAGUACGGACUACGAUGCAAGCGCGAGCUGUGGCGGGUGCAGUACGCCCUGAGCCGGAUCCGGAAUGCGGCAAGGGACCUGCUGACGCUGGACGAGAAGAAUCCCCGUCGGAUCUUUGAGGGCGAGGCGCUCCUCCGCCGGAUGAACAGGUACGGGCUCCUUGAGGAGGGGCAGAACAAGCUCGAUUAUGUGCUCGCCCUCACCGUCGAGAACUUUCUCGAGCGUCGCCUCCAGACCCAGGUCUUCAAGUCCGGCAUGGCGAAGUCCAUUCAUCAUGCUCGGGUUCUCAUCCGUCAACGCCAUAUCAGGGUGGGGCGUCAGGUGGUAAAUAUCCCUUCAUUCAUGGUGAGGGUUGACUCUGCGAAGCACAUUGACUUUGCUCUCAACAGUCCUCUUGGAGGUGGUGGUCCUGGAAGGGUGAAGAGGAAGAACCUGAAGUCUGCCACCAAGAAGGCCACUGAUGGUGAUGAGGAAGAUGAGGAAUGAGCCCCGAUGCUGGCUAGGAAUAAAUCUUUUACUUGCUCUCUGGAGUUUAGCUGUGUGAUCUUUUUGUCAGGAAUGCCUUUAAGUUUUGUGGAACUGUGAGUCUCUGAUAUCUCUUGGUAGCUGGAAAAGCAUUGUUGGACUCCAAAUUUUAGUUUUAUAUUGAUGUUCUUGCUUAAGUUCAAAUGGGAUUAUUCAGAUAUUCAGUACCUGUUGGUUUUUACCUCAA
rnacentral:misc_RNA from 1 species